rnacentral:rRNA from 1 species
GACAGAGGGGGCAAGCGUUGCUCGGAAUUACUGGGCGUAAAGGGUGCGUAGGCGGCGCGGUAAGUCGGGUGUGAAAUCUCGGAGCUUAACUCCGAAACUGCAUUCGAUACUGCCGUGCUUGAGGACUGGAGAGGAGACUGGAAUUUACGGUGUAGCGGUGAAAUGCGUAGAUAUCGAGAGGAACACCUGCGGCGAAGGCGGGUUGCUGGGCCGACACUGACGCUGAUGCGCGAAAGCCAGGGGAGCGAACGGG